GACGAACGCUGGCGGCGUGCCUAAUACAUGCAAGUCGAGCGAGACUCUUCGGAGUCUAGCGGCGGACGGGUGAGUAACACGUGGGCAACCUGCCUGUAAGACUGGGAUAACACCGGGAAACCGGUGCUAAUACCGGAUAAUCCUUUUCCUUCCAUGAGGAGAAGCUGAAAGACGGUUUCGGCUGUCACUUACAGCUGGGCCCGCGGCGCAUUAGCGAGUUGGGGAAGUAACAGCUCACCAAGGCGACGAUGCGUAGCCGACCUGAGAGGGGGGGCGGCCACACUGGGACUGAGACACGGCCCAGACUCCUACGGGAGGCAGCAGUAGGGAAUCUUCCACAAUGGACGAAAGUCUGAUGGAGCAACGCCGCGUGAGCGAUGAAGGCCUUCGGGUCGUAAAGCUCUGUUGUUAGGGAAGAACAAGUACCGGAGUAACUGCCGGUACCUUGACGGUACCUAACCAGAAAGCCACGGCUAACUACGUGUCAGCCGCCGCGGUAACAC
rnacentral:rRNA from 1 species